UGCCCGCCGCCCAGGUCGCUCAUUGGCUGAAGCAGCGGGAGGCCUCGCUCUCCAGCCCCCUCCCUCUCCUCCCCCCUCACCUCCCCCCACCCCGCUCCCCUCCGUCCUCUUGGCACACGGCAGGUGGAGGUGGGAACGCGCUUUCCGGGGGCCACCCGCCCCGGGGGCGAAGCCGAUCCCGCUCUCGUUGCCCUUUCUUUCUCCGUCUACUUUUCGAGCUUCUCUCCUUCCCCUUCCUGUCUCCUCUCCCCUCCCCGUCGUCCGUCCUCCGCCCCUCCCCUUCUCUUCCUCUCCUCUCCUCCAUCCUUCGCUCCCGUCCGCCCGCCUGCCGAUCCGCCCGCUCCACCCUCUCCUCUCUGGCAGUUCACGCGGGCUCCGAGAGGAUGAGAAACGGAUUCAUCUGCCUAGGUCUUCGGGUUUUUCUCUUGCCCCGUCUUCGAGGAGCACAGAGCGCUACGAUAGCCAAGAGGCUCGUCUUCCCUCUCCGCCCCGAACCCGCGUCCUGAGGAGGGAGGCCGAGGUCCAGAACGGGGCAGAGAACCCAUCCAGUCCGGAGCGCUCUGCUGCCCUUCCCCCAACUUCUCAAGCCUUGAAAGCCCGGCCCCGACGGACGGUUCUUCGGUCCUCGAGGGAACUCGGGUGGGAGCCUCGCGGGAACCCCCGGCGUGGAGGCAGAGAACCGGCCACGAACAAAGAGAGCAUCGGGAAGAUGCGCAAAUGGGGAAGAGGGCCGGACCAACGGACACAGAAACUCCGUGGAUAAACCAAGGCCUUCCUUCCCGGCGUUGCCGAGGGCCCCUCCGAGCUCAGGCACUGGGACAGGUAGGAGGGGUGGGGUUAGAGGCAAGACCGGUCAGCUCUGUGACCACAGGGGUCCCUUCUGAAAGAAGAGCUCUGUUGUCAUGUCCGGACCGGCCCCCGGCCGCCUCCUCGGGAAACCUCACUCCGAAGCUCCCAGCGACGGCAUCUCCGCGUUCCACGGGGUUUUAAACCUAGAGUGGAAGGAGCAUUUCGCAAAUUCAUUAAACGUCUCGGCUGCUGGUUGGUCAGGUUGCCUGGGGCAUCGGACUACUUCCCUGGCAAAUUGGCCCGCAGAGGCUGGACAUCAAACCCC